rnacentral:snRNA from 1 species
GUGCUCGCUUCGGCAGCACAUAUACUAAAAUUGGAGCGAUACAGAGAAGAUUAGCAUGGCCCUUGCGCAAGGAUGACACGCAAAUAAAAAAAAAAGAGAGAGAAACUU